UUCGCUCCCACGCCACCGCUAUAGUCUCCAGGGAUCCAAUCGACAUCACAGGUUUGGGAGGGCGAUGACGGCUAUGGUCUCCAUCUGGAGAUGGUGAUGGAGUGGCAAUGGGAUCCCAUCGAUCCUCGCAUGGAUUCAAUUUCCUGCAGCUCCAUCCCCCAAUAAGGUAGAGCUUGCUGCCCAGAGCCUGGCACACGAAUCCCCGUGCCUUUUGGGUAUCAAAACCUCUUAUCGUCCAAGCCCUGUGCGGUGUCUGGCAAAUAGUCCAUGGGCGAUGACCAACUGCGAAAGGAGCAGCCUGCGAGGAUGUGGCAAUCACAGGGAAGCGCGCCGGAUCGACCGGGAAUGCACAUUCUUGUGUAACCUCUUGCUAUCACUAUAUACCCGAUUUGGGCAUAUUGGCGAGGCGAUCAAGGUGUUUCACUCGAUCCAGAAUUCCAAUCUCUUCUCCUUGAAAAUCCUGUUAGGGGCAUUUUGCGAUGACAAUCACGUUUCUGAGGAUAGAAAAACCUUUGAUUCUCUGCAGGAGAGGGACGUGCUGAC
rnacentral:lncRNA from 1 species